GCUGGGGUUGUGGCUCAGUGGUGGAGUGCUUGCCUAAUAUGUGUGAGGCACUGGGUUCGAUUCUCAGCAAAGCA
rnacentral:tRNA from 1 species